GGAAGAACAGAAUUCAACUGAUACAACACUGGAGGGGUGAAAACAAGACAGAGAGAGAGAGAGAGAGAGAGAGAGAGAUGAGGGGCCCGCACAUGCCCUGCUCAUCUCAAAACUUCUCGAGAAGCAAAUCUAACUUGCAGGAACUUUGAGAAAGGCAGGAGAAGCAAAAAAGCAAAAUGAGAUUGUUUUCAUAACUUAAAGAGGCUGAAAAUGAUGAAACUGGGCUGAGAUGUGUUACAGGAGCCUACACAGCUAGAAGGAUAGAUUCGAGGUCAUGCUUUGAGCAAAAGCCAUUAAAAUACAUAAAUAACAUUGUAUCACACUUUUGCCUCUCAAGUUGAGACUGCCUCUAAAUUGACUAGCGUUACAAAUAUCCUAACAGAAAACUAUCCCUAAAACCUAGAAAGCCAUAUUAUGCUUUGGCAAUCAUCUGACCAUGUACAACAAAUGUAAUGAAAACGGUAAACCUGAACCAAGGCAAACCCAACAGUUUAAUUUAAAAACUUGAAGAUACUAAGUAUUCCCUUCAACUGGACAUUCAGAAACUUCACGUGGCUACAUUGUAUUUCCCCCCACGAGUUGCUUCAGGGUUGUGAAAUUCACUGGACUGUGGAGGGAGCCUUAAACCUUUGUGGGUGAUUGACGUCUAAAGUACCUGAGCUUUUCUGGUUCUGCUGACCCUCAGUCUCCUGGACCCUAGAAGAAGAAUCAGACCCAUCCUUCAGUCUCAUCUCUAGAAGCCCAGAAUAAAAUGAAAAAGCUAUAGAUACCAGGCUUUACAGAAGCAGAAUCAGGUUGUGGUUGCAGAAAAAAUAAGAACAGCGAAAGACGCGUGGGGCAUCACAUCUCCAUCUUGCAGGAACUGGCAGCGAUGGUCCAGGCCAACGCCUCUCGAGGUGGCCUCCUCCUCCCAUGUGAGGGAAGGACUCACCAGGGGCUUCCCUGCUGGUAGGGCUCAGAGACGUUACUGUUAUUUAACUCCAAACCCAUCACCGGCGCCUGAGAUGCAGGCUUGUGUGCGGGGCAGAUGGCCAGCUGUCAGGGAGGACGUGAGCACUUCACUUUCAAGGACCGGUUCUGACCCUGGAGCACGCAGGGUGCGGCCUGGCGCUGAGUCCCGUGUUACUCACCUCAACGUGUUUUAACGCUGUUUCCUCCUUCCCAUUUGAUAACCCACCUCUUCGACAAACGACCUUCAAUAUUUGAGUGGUAACAGAAACGGAGCCACUGUGGCAAUAAAUUGCUCAUAAGCUUGGACAGAAA
ensembl:lncRNA novel transcript